rnacentral:miRNA from 1 species
CGUAGUUUCAUAUGGGUAUGCUCCG